UUAUUUAUUAUUAACAACAUAUACUUCAUUAGGCUACCAACCAUAUACCAUACAUACCAUACAUAAGGAAACAGAUUAGGUCCUCGCGAAUUUUUCUUGAAUUGUUUAGUGUUUUCAUUGCAGAUUCAACAAAUUUUUGAAUGGUAAAUCCACAUCCUUUCCACAAAUUCCUUUGAAGGAAUGUUCAGUCCUCCACGAUCUAGUAGAGCAACACGUUCCAGAAAAUUUGGCAAUAGAACCGAUGGAUGAAGAUUUCUAUCUACAAGAUCCAUCUCAAGAAGACACUUCAUACAAUAAAGACGAAAUUGCGGUGCAUCAACUGACUGCUCCACAACUCAAUGCUGCUGAAAACCCUCGUCGAACGACCCAUCAACACAAUUAUAGUGCGAGGUAAAAGAGAUCUCUUGACACCACCGCAAUAAUAAACUAGUUCAAAAAUGGUCAA